rnacentral:rRNA from 1 species
UACAGAGGUCUCAAGCGUUGUUCGGAUUCAUUGGGCGUAAAGGGUGCGUAGGCGGCGCGGUAAGUCGGGUGUGAAAUCUCGGGGCUUAACUCCGAAACUGCAUUCGAUACUGCCGUGCUUGAGGACUGGAGAGGAGACUGGAAUUUACGGUGUAGCGGUGAAAUGCGUAGAUAUCGUAAGGAAGACCAGUGGCGAAGGCGGGUCUCUGGACAGUUCCUGACGCUGAGGCACGAAGGCGUGGGGAGCGAACAGG